GCCCCUGUGGAUAGCUCAGUCGGUAGAGCGUGAGAUUCCUAAUCUUGGGGGCCGUGGGUUCAAGCCCCAUGUUGGGCA